rnacentral:rRNA from 1 species
GACGAACGCUGGCGGCGUGCUUAACACAUGCAAGUCGAACGCUGAAGCACCAGCUUGCUGGUGUGGAUGAGUGGCGAACGGGUGAGUAAUACGUGAGUAACCUGCCCUUGACUCUGGGAUAAGCCCGGGAAACUGGGUCUAAUACUGGAUGCUACAUGUCACCGCAUGGUGGUGUGUGGAAAGGGUUUACUGGUCUUGGAUGGGCUCACGGCCUAUCAGCUUGUUGGUGAGGUAAUGGCUCACCAAGGCGACGACGGGUAGCCGGCCUGAGAGGGUGACCGGCCACACUGGGACUGAGACACGGCCCAGACUCCUACGGGAGGCAGCAGUGGGGAAUAUUGCACAAUGGGCGAAAGCCUGAUGCAGCGACGCCGCGUGAGGGAUGACGGCCUUCGGGUUGUAAACCUCUUUCAGCAGGGAAGAAGCCACAAGUGACGGUACCUGCAGAAGAAGCGCCGGCUAACUACGU